UUCAAAGUACCAUAUUGAAAAUUAGACAAAUGAAAAUUAGAUCUUUAACCAAAUUUAGCAUGUUAUCUAAAUGUAAUAUCUUAAUAGUCUGCAUUAUAUAUUAUGAAUCUGCAUUAAAAAUAGCAUUUUAAAUGGUGAAUCCAUAAUUUUGGAUUCCCAAAACCAUAUUUGUGAUGUAUCCUGACUAAGACAGGUUGUUGGAGGAGUAUUAGAAGCAGAAUGAAACCGCUUAUUUUGGUUUCAUAAUAUGUACAUAUUGACUCCCACUCAUUCUUUUGGCAUCAUGUUUGUAUUUAGAGCUGUUCUUAAAAUGAUGAUAUUACUUAUUUUUCAUUAUCCUAAUUUAAAACUGUACGAAGCUUUUCUCUGUCUUUC
rnacentral:lncRNA from 1 species